rnacentral:rRNA from 1 species
AUUGAACGCUGGCGGCAGGCCUAACACAUGCAAGUCGAACGAGUGGCGGACGGGUGAGUAAUGUCUGGGAAACUGCCCGAUGGAGCGGGGUAACUACUGGAAACGGUAUGGAAAACCGCAUCUCAUCGGAUCUGCACAGCUGGGACUAGCUAGGGGGUGGGUUAACGGCUCACCAAGGCGACGAUACCUAGCUGGUCUGAGAGGAUGACCAGCAACACUGGAACGGAGACACGGUCCAGACUCCUACGGGAGGCAGCAGUGGGGAAUAUUGCAAAAUGGGCGCAAGCCUGAUGCAGCCAUGCCGCGUGUAUGAAGAAGGCCUUCGGGUUGUAAAGUACUUUCAGCGAGGAGGCGUUACUCGCAGAAGAAGCACCGGCUAACUCCGUGCCAGCAGCCGCGGUAAUAC